UACGUAUGGGGCAAGCGUUAUCCGGAUUUACUGGGUGUAAAGGGAGCGUAGGCGGCGGGGCAAGCCUGAUGUGAAAGCCCGGGGCUCAACCCCGGGACUGCAUUGGGAACUGCCCUGCUGGAGUGCCGGAGGGGCAGGCGGAAUUCCUAGUGUAGCGGUGAAAUGCGUAGAUAUUAGGAGGAACACCAGUGGCGAAGGCGGCCUGCUGGACGAUGACUGACGCUGAGGCUCGAAAGCGUGGGGAGCAAACAGG
rnacentral:rRNA from 1 species